UUCAGGCUAUUAAGACGGAGCCUUUGGAGCUUUUACAUUCUUAAUAAUGUUCAGCAUGCACAGCAUCAAGCAUCACUUACGGUCAGUGGAAAUCCAGGCAGGAGACUCCAGCAGGUCCCUCUUUUGCAACCUCCCAUUCAUUUGAUCCUCACAACUCCCUGUCCUGACCUAGGACCGGCCCGUGACCUCCCAGGGAAGCAGAGGUUACCAAGCGGCUUCUCCGAUUGGGCACCCCCCCCAUGUCAUUGUCCCCAUGACGUCUUCAGUUUUAACAGUGAACAUGUACCUGUCUCACACCUGCACCUCCUCCACCUCCACCUCGAUUCCCCCUGGACUCCUGAUUCUGCUGUCCCCGACCUGGAGCCCCACUUCCUCCUGUCCUCCUUCCUGGCCACUCCAGUGUCUGUCUUUCCUUCACAGCCCGGCUUCUCGAGGCCUGUCCACACUCGCUGCUUUCCUUCCUCACCUCCAAUCUCCCCUCCAACCCACUGCUUCCUGACUCGCUCUUCUCCAUCGAACGGCUCUCGCUCAGGCCGGUUGCAUCCUUCUUCUGCCUUUUCCUGUUGUGGUCAUGUGCCAAGAGCUCCUCCUCUCCACGGAAGACCAGCUGGAGUCACCCACCGGCCAUACUGGCUGAAGAACAGCAGGUGGAAGUGACCGAUGACCCUGAGGACCCCGAGGACCCUAAGGACCUCAAGGACCCCAAGGACCCCAUGAGGCCCAGCGCCUGGACCCAGACCUUCAGGACCUGCAUUGUGCCUCCUUCACAGAUUAGGGUGAGUCUCUUGCGUCAACAUGCACAACCUCAUUAGGAUCCACUCACAUCACCUGUCCACUCAAGAGAGAAAACAUUUACUCGGGAGGGGCAGCUUACAAAACUUCCACAUCAACCUUCGUACCUGGAGACCUGGAAACUGCCUGGAGCGGAGACCCUCACCACGCCAAGUCAGCAUGUGUGGGAGUCCAUCUUGGCUACUGGAGACCAGAGACAGUAAGUGGGAGAGUUCACAAGUAGUCUACACUCUUGGGAAUGGCCAAGGCCAGGCACACAGUAGGCACACAG
rnacentral:lncRNA from 1 species